UGGCUCAGUAGUAGAGUGCUUGCCUUACAUGCAUGAGGCCCUGAGUUCGAUUCCUCAG
rnacentral:tRNA from 1 species